GAUGUACAAAUAUGACAGAUGCUCUUUAGAGCACGCAGUGAUUAGUGUGAUCAGUCACAUUACUUCCACUGCUAUCUCUGCUUUGUACCUUGCCCCUCUUCUCUUCUCACAUCACUCGUCUCACUGAUCAUGCCAAAGAGUAUGCUAGGAGAGAGGAUAGGCUGAAAUAUUAAUGCACUUUUUUUGCUGCCUUCGGGAACCCAGAAGCAAAUUCCGUCGGUAGCUCGUGCAUGAAGGUUUGGAGCCUGAAAGUCUUUCAUCACCGGUGGAGAACAAAAAGCAUAGUAUAAGAUUUGAGCGGUGCUAUCUUAUCUGAGCUUAACUUUAAGUAUAUUUAAAUUUAAAUUUGCAUGGUCAUUUUUCUUGACCUUGCAAGACUUUGUUCGUAUUAAUUAUUUUUUUUAUUAUUUUUUUAUUAAUUUAUUAUAUUAAAUUAUGUAACUUAUCCCGUUCAAAUCUCCCAUCUUUUUUUCCUUUUGUUAUUCCUCCUGAGCUUGGUUACAAAAAAAAGUCUUGCUAAGAUCAUGCAGACUUCAAUUGUUUGUAUUAAGAGGGUUCUAUCUAGUUAUUCCUUUGGUAUGACGGGGAGAGCCUCUCAUUCACCCUUCUUCUAUUUUUGUGGCUGUUUCUUGUUUUUACAAAAUAUGGAUCUCUUUUUUCUUGCAUGCAUGUAAUGUCUUUCAUGCAAGUGCAGUGGAACUAGUUAACUACAUUAUCUGUUCA